rnacentral:rRNA from 1 species
GGGGAAUUUUGGACAAUGGGCGAAAGCCUGAUCCAGCCAUUCCGCGUGCAGGAUGAAGGCCCUCGGGUUGUAAACUGCUUUUGUACAGAACGAAAAAGCUCUGGUUAAUACCUGGAGUCCAUGACGGUACUGUAAGAAUAAGCACCGGCUAACUACGUGCCAGCAGCCGCGGUAAUACGUAGGGUGCAAGCGUUAAUCGGAAUUACUGGGCGUAAAGCGUGCGCAGGCGGUUUUGUAAGACAGAGGUGAAAUCCCCGGGCUCAACCUGGGAACUGCCUUUGUGACUGCAAGGCUGGAGUGCGGCAGAGGGGGAUGGAAUUCCGCGUGUAGCAGUGAAAUGCGUAGAUAUGCGGAGGAACACCGAUGGCGAAGGCAAUCCCCUGGGCCUGCACUGACGCUCAUGCACGAAAGCGUGGGGAGCAAAC